GUGGGCAACCUGCCUGUAAGACUGGGAUAACUUCGGGAAACCGGGAGCUAAUACCGGAUAAUAUAAGGAACCUCCUGGUUCUUUAUUGAAAGAUGGUUUCGGCUAUCACUUACAGAUGGGCCCGCGGCGCAUUAGCUAGUUGGUGAGGUAACGGCUCACCAAGGCGACGAUGCGUAGCCGACCUGAGAGGGUGAUCGGCCACACUGGGACUGAGACACGGCCCAGACUCCUACGGGAGGCAGCAGUAGGGAAUCUUCCACAAUGGACGAAAGUCUGAUGGAGCAACGCCGCGUGAGCGAUGAAGGCCUUCGGGUCGUAAAGCUCUGUUGUUAGGGAAGAACAAGUGCGAGAGUAACUGCUCGCACCUUGACGGUACCUAACCAGAAAGCCACGGCUAACUACGUGCCAGCAGCCGCGGUAAUACGUAGGUGGCAAGCGUUGUCCGGAAUUAUUGGGCGUAAAGCGCGCGCAGGUGGUCCUUUAAGUCUGAUGUGAAAGCCCACGGCUCAACCGUGGAGGGUCAUUGGAAACUGGGGGACUUGAGUGCAGAAGAGGAAAGUGGAAUUCCAAGUGUA
rnacentral:rRNA from 2 species